rnacentral:rRNA from 1 species
GAUGAACGCUAGCGGCAGGCCUAAUACAUGCAAGUCAAGGGGCCAGCAAUGGCACCGGCGCACGGGUGCGUAACACGUACACAACAUACCUUUAAGUGGGAGAUAGCAUCGGGAAACUGGUGGUAAUACCCCAUAAUAUUGCGAUGCGGCAUCACAUUGCAAUUAAAGUUUCGACGCUUAAAGAUUGGUGUGCGUCCGAUUAGCUAGUUGGCGGGGUAACGGCCCACCAAGGCUACGAUCGGUAGGGGGUGGUGAGAGCAUGACCCCCCACCAUGGUACGUNAGACACGGACCCGAACCUACCUACCGGG